rnacentral:rRNA from 1 species
GUGGGGAAUAUUGGACAAUGGGCGCAAGCCUGAUCCAGCCAUGCCGCGUGAGUGAUGAAGGCCUUAGGGUUGUAAAGCUCUUUCACCGGAGAAGAUAAUGACGGUAUCCGGAGAAGAAGCCCCGGCUAACUUCGUGCCAGCAGCCGCGGUAAUACGAAGGGGGCUAGCGUUGUUCGGAAUUACUGGGCGUAAAGCGCACGUAGGCGGAUAUUUAAGUCAGGGGUGAAAUCCCAGAGCUCAACUCUGGAACUGCCUUUGAUACUGGGUAUCUUGAGUAUGGAAGAGGUAAGUGGAAUUCCGAGUGUAGAGGUGAAAUUCGUAGAUAUUCGGAGGAACACCAGUGGCGAAGGCGGCUUACUGGUCCAUUACUGACGCUGAGGUGCGAAAGCGUGGGGAGCAAACAGGAUUAGAAACCCGUGUAGUCC